UUCGUGAUCUCCAUUGAAAGGGGAGUCAUAAGUUUGACUCUUGACGAGCUAGGUGAAGCUUGGAGGAGAAGAUCAAACGGGAUAAAGGCACGAGUAAGACUUGCUUGGAUGAAAGGGGCGAAUAGUAAUUUGGGUAAUUGCGUCGCCAUAAGAAUAUCGAUAAUGAAAGCAAGGAGUCGAAACGGGUCAUUAGGUUGACUCGAGCCAGGUGAAUGUCGAGAGUCCCGGAUGAAGAUCAAGCAUCGAACAAGAACCGAACACACGUUAAACAAAGCUUCCGCAACGUUGUU
rnacentral:lncRNA from 1 species